UGGAAUUCAGCUGCCGGCCAUUGAGCUAAGGAUGCCUGGUUCCGGCUCCCUAGCCUACUUGGAUGCCCUUGAUGGGUUUUGUCUUGAGGACCUGCGGCAGCCCCCAUAACCAGUGACCUGCUUUUUAAAGAAAACCGCCCCUCUGAUGGCGAAUGUCCUAAUCUGGCUUCUGUCGCUGUGAUGAGACACUGACAAAACCUCCUUGGGGAAGGAAGAAGUUUGUUUCAUCUUACUUUUCCAGCACCCCGAUGAGCAAGGGACCACGGAGCAAGAAGGGAACCUCCGUCUGGGUGCCGUGGGCUAAGUAAUGCACGAUGAAUGUGCCUCCAAAACCUCACCAGCUGCGUCAGCUGCAUCAGCUGGGUCAUCUGGGCAAGACUCUACAGAGCUGGGGGUUGGAGCUGUGGUGGAGGGGAGGACUACAAUCUCAGAAGCCAACAAGGAAAUGUUAACCAGCGCCAUCUUGUGAGGAUCUGUUGUGGCCCCUGGCCGCCACCUCCCUACUUUCUAUCUCUAUGAUUUUGAUGACUUUGGAUGAACUUCAAGGAAUUGGAAUCAUCUGGAUUCAUCUUUCCAUGAUUGGCAUGUUACUUGGCAUGAUGUCCUUAAUGUGUAUCCAUGUUGUAGCGUGAAUCAGGAUUUCAUUCUUUUUUAUGGUUGAAUAAUAUUCCCUUGUGUGCAA